UAGAGUUUGAUCCUGGCUCAGAUUGAACGCUGGCGGCAUGCCUUACACACGCAAGUCGAACGGUAACAGGUCUUCGGACGCUGACGAGUGGCGAACGGGUGAGUAAUACAUCGGAACGUGCCCAGUCGUGGGGGAUAACUACUCGAAAGAGUAGCUAAUACCGCAUACGAUCUGAGGAUGAAAGCGGGGGACCUUCGGGCCUCGCGCGAUUGGAGCGGCCGAUGGCAGAUUAGGUAGUUGGUGGGAUAAAAGCUUACCAAGCCGACGAUCUGUAGCUGGUCUGAGAGGACGACCAGCCACACUGGGACUGAGACACGGCCCAGACUCCUACGGGAGGCAGCAGUGGGGAAUUUUGGACAAUGGGCGAAAGCCUGAUCCAGCAAUGCCGCGUGCAGGAUGAAGGCCUUCGGGUUGUAAACUGCUUUUGUACGGAACGAAAAAGCUCCUUCUAAUACAGGGGGCCCAUGACGGUACCGUAAGAAUAAGCACCGGCUAACUACGUGCCAGCAGCCGCGGUAAUACGUAGGGUGCGAGCGUUAAUCGGAAUUACUGGGCGUAAAGCGUGCGCAGGCGGUUAUGUAAGACAGAUGUGAAAUCCCCGGGCUCAACCUGGGAACUGCAUUUGUGACUGCAUGGCUAGAGUACGGUAGAGGGGGAUGGAAUUCCGCGUGUAGCAGUGAAAUGCGUAGAUAUGCGGAGGAACACCGAUGGCGAAGGCAAUCCCCUGGACCUGUACUGACGCUCAUGCCCGAAAGCGUGGGGAGCAAACAGGAUUAAAUACCCUGGUAAUCCCCGCCCUAAACGAUGUCAACUGGUUGUUGGGAAUUA
rnacentral:rRNA from 1 species